CCCUUAGAUGUUCUGGGCCGCACGCGCGCUACACUGAUGAAUGCAACGAGCUCUACCCUUGACCGAAAGGCCCGGGUAAACUUGUGAAACUUCAUCGUGAUGGGGAUAGAUUAUUGCAAUUAUUAAUCUUCAACGAGGAAUUCCUAGUAAGCGCGAGUCAUCAGCUCGCGUUGAUUACGUCCCUGCCCUUUGUACACACCGCCCGUCGCUCCUACCGAUUGAAUGGUCCGGUGAAAUCUUCGGAUUGCUGACCAAGAUCCAGCAAUGGAGCUUGGUUGCGAGAAGUUGAUGAAACCUUAUUAUUUAGAGGAAGGAGAAGUCGUAACA
rnacentral:rRNA from 1 species